rnacentral:misc_RNA from 1 species
AAUGUUCAAAUGAAGAACUGUCUGGAAUUGGAUUGCAUUAAAAAAGAAAAAGUGCGCCCUUUAGUGUUUUUAAAAACAUAAAUACUUACGUAAUGUGUGUUUGGUUUUGUUUACAGUGUUUUGAGUGAGUGUGUUCGUUGAUAGUUGAAGUAGGUACAAACCUAUACUAGGUUUUUGCCGCUGAUCAUCAUGACUAGUAACGAGUCAAAACUGUAAACAAUCAAAAUCUUCCAUUUACAAACUGCUAUAAGUGUGAAAGAGAUAGCCAAUUGAAGUGCUGGUGCGUGUGAGCAGGACAGCAUGCCUGAUACGUUCCUGACCACAGGAGUGAGCCUGGGGCUGUUGGCUGGAGUAGUGUCUGGUGUAUGCUACCUCGUCGCGAAUGGAUUGGCUUGGCCUCGACACGAUCAGAAGAAGAAGCGAUGUAUACCAUCCACGCAGCACGAGGGCGUGUGUCUUAGCUGCGGUGGAGACUCACGGGGCGGCAUCAUACCCUGCAUCUGUACUGGACAUCAAGCCGUGAAGUUCGAGUCUGGCUUCUGGUUCUUGCGUCAGGUGCAACGAGCAGUCAGCCUCAUGCCCUGGAGCCUCAGCACCGACAAGCUGGAGCUGAUCGAAGAAGAGGAAUGCGACAGCCCGGAUAGCCCAGGGUCGAGCGAGGGCCCCCGCGAGCUGCGCAACGUGCGCGAGUUCCUCGAGGCCCUCUCCGCCAAGCUGGCCGGGGGGGCCCUCGAGGGAACCCGUGUGGCCCCCCUCUACCAUCACCCUGCUUAUUUAUCGCCGCGCGACCCAUCUCAGCCCAGCUCCUCACAUGCGCAUGCGUCUAGCGGCGCGAGCGGCGCACACGCUCAACUCAAGCGGUUGGUAGCGCGCGUGGUAGAAGAAGCUGCAGCGUUACCGGCGCUUGCGCGGUACGCGGCUGAACCUACCACCCCCACCAUCGAGACGUCUACGUAUGAAGAUCUGUUGGCUACUGCAAUUUUGAACAAGGUCAUAGAACGAUACCAGACAGAGAAUGGUUCAGGAGGCAGAAGCAGCGGCAUCCAUUCAGCGAGUGCCAGCCCUACCCCUUCGGAGAGGUCCUCACCCCGCUCCCUGAACUCCAGAGCCAGGGAUAUAUCGCCACCUCUUCGAGAAGAAGAUGAGUUAUCAGACUGGGAGGAGGGCGAGGCGACAGCUUCAGAUGAUGCGCUCGAGUUGCCUCGCCGCGUGCCCUUUCCAGAGUUCGGCGGUGACAUAGUUCAUGCUACAGACAACGAUGACCGUGAUUUCGACGAAGUAUCCGGCAGUGAUAUCCAAGCAGUCGACGGAUCGUGGGAAGAGAACUGGCUGUUCCAAAAAAAAAAGAUAAAGACCAUCCAGUCAGUGCCCGUGCCUAUGCUGGUGCCCAACUCAAACACCGAAUACAGAGCCCUGAUCGGUGACAGAGACGCCGACGACACCACAGACCUCUCAGACAACGCUAGCGAAGGCGAUGAAGAAGCUGAAUACAAAAGCGACAUCAAAAGAGUACUAGAUUCCAAACACGUGAUUGGUGGUAAACCUAAAAUAGACGAACUACUCGACUUCGAACCGGACAGCCUAAACAUGGUUGAUGCAGGCGAUGAGUUCGAAAUAUGUGAUAACGAACAGGAUAAAGAUGUUGUUGAUGCUGUUAAUAAUGAAAUCAACGACGAUACUGCCAAACCAGACAAUCACGACAAACAAGAUGAAGACAAAGACUCCGUUCUAGUAUUAGGAAUGGACAGCGGGCCACUGACAAAAGCAGAAUUUGCAUUGAAAGAAGAAAUACAUAGAACAUUGCUGAAUGGUACCGCGGAAGACUUCGCAGCACAGCUCGAAGCUAAAAUAAACGGUGAAGAACAGGAUGAGCUUGAUAAAAUGCACAAAGGGUCUAUGGGCACGCUCAGUCGCCACGAGCGAGAGGGUGAGUACGAAGAAACUGUGACCAAACCCGUCCAAAGAUACGCCGACAGCCUCAGGAGGAAACAUUUUGAAGACGAACCGCAACACAUACCCACACGAGAUACAGACAAAGAAGAUGAUUUGAUACCAGGUUCUAUUGCGUAUAGAGAACGUAAAAAAUGGUUGAACUACGUUGAAAUGCCAAACAACCCCUAUUCUCCUGAAGCAAUACAAAAGAGACUUUCAGCUAAAAGCACUUCCUCACUCUUCGACAUGCUGACCAAGCCAAAAGACUUAGAUGAUGACGACAGAAGCAUCAAAUCUGAAAAUAUUAAUGGAAAGGAAAGUCUUAAAGAGCACGACUUGCUCGAAAAAGAUGAACGUAAUCUACAGUUAGAGAAGUUAAACACGGAAGGUAUCAUUAUGAAUGGAAACAGACCGAAAAGUCCAUCUCCAAGAAUUCUGAAAGAUGUACUAGCGGAAGAGGUACCACAAUACAAACGCUAUGGCCGGGACUAUUAUAUUAGAGAAGCGAAGGUCUCUGCGGGUGGUCGCAGAAAGAGAGAGGAGCUGAGCGAGACGAGUUCACUGUCGUCAAUGAACAAGUCGACCAGUUUAGACAAUUUCGAUACAGAGUUCGCCUCGCCUGUAAGUGCCAGCAGUUCGUUGAGCGAUCUCGAGGCGUCCGCCCUUCACCAGAACAUCGUCCGCGCCGUCCUCAGCCCCAGAAAUGCGAGCCCCAACUUCGCUAUAAACCCUAUUUUUGAAAACCCAGACAGACAAAACGAUAACGCUGACGAAAAUCAUGCGACAGACGCUAACGUCAGUCGAACUAACGCCAACGUAAGAGAACAAAGUAGACCUGUGUGCGGAGGUGACGGUUAUGUGGAAAACGAGGAUAUAAUUAGACUUAAAAUACCGAAUAAACCCGAAGUAACCGAAGAUCUUUUCGAAACAUAUACAAAUGUUAGGCGAAGCAACACUUUGAAAAGCGAGGACCUGUGUCUUCGAUCUAAGAGACGGCCAGGCCUCAAUUACACGUUCGGCGGAAGCCUCAGGUUAAACGAGGGCUUUCGUGCUAAUCUAUGGUGAAUAACCACCUUCAAUAGCUCCAAUAAUACACCUCCAGUAUAAAGCACUCUCCUACUGACAAUGUAAAGUUUUUUCUAACUUAAAGAAUCUCUUACUAUGUACAAUACGAACAUAGACAAUUCAAUUCGAUGGAAUCUUUUAACUAGAUCUAUAGGUUAAUUCUUACAUCACUAUCACAUCUACCUUUCAUAAAAAAAAAUAACUCUUCCGCCAAUAACUAAGUCGACAAUCUAAAAUAUCUUCGUUUUACACGCAGUAAUUUUGCCUGUUGUGUGUAAAAGUUGGCAUGUUCUGAAUACAAGCUGACUAACAGCACUCUGCACCUUAAUACAAGAAAAUCUAAUUCUCUAGUACUGCACUCAUAGAUUUGUGUCCUUCUUAAUCAAAAUUUUCAGUACUUUACUACAGUAAUCCUCAAAGAAGUUAGUGGGAUUACUAAUAAAGCAAUUCAACACAAUUGCCUCAAAUCAGCAUUACACGAAGUUUGCUCCGAAUCAACAAAUGUCAGAAUCAAUAACUACACUUCCUAACAACAAGACAGAGAUUAUGAUUGAGUACGAUGAUGUAAAC